GACAGAGGGUGCGAACGUUGUUCGGAAUUACUGGGCGUAAAGCGUGCGUAGUCGGUAUUGAGAGUCGCGGGUGAAAUCCCAGGGCUUAACCCUGGAACUGCCUGCGAGACCUCAGUACUAGAGUGUGAGAGGGGAUAGUGGAAUACCCAGUGUAGCGGUGAAAUGCGUAGAGAUUGGGUGGAACACCGGUGGCGAAGGCGGCUAUCUGGCUCACAACUGACGAUCAGGCACGAAAGCGUGGGGAGCAAACAGG
rnacentral:rRNA from 1 species